UACGUAGGGGGCAAGCGUUGUCCGGAUUUAUUGGGCGUAAAGCGCGUGUAGGCGGUCCGGUAAGUCCGCUGUGAAAGUCGGGGGCUCAACCCUCGAAUGCCGGUGGAUACUGUCGGGCUAGAGUGCGGAAGAGGUGAGUGGAAUUCCUGGUGUAGCGGUGAAAUGCGCAGAUAUCAGGAGGAACACCAAUUGCGAAAGGCAGCUCGCUGGGACGUAACUGACGCUGGAGACGCGAAAGCGUGGGGAGCAAACAGG
rnacentral:rRNA from 1 species